rnacentral:tRNA from 1 species
GCACCCGUAGCUCAAUUGGAUAGAGCAUUGGUCUACGGAACCAAAGGUUACAAGUUCGAGUCUUGUCGGGUGCA